GAUGAACGCUGGCGGCGUGCCUAAUACAUGCAAGUCGAGCGAACAGACGAUGAGCUUGCGCCGCUGACGUUAGCCGCAGACGUGUGAGUAACACGUGGAUAAUCUACCUAUAAUACUGGUAUAACUUCGGGAAAGCGGAUCUAAUACCGUAGAAUAUAUUGAAGCACAGUGGUCAAUGGUGAAAUACGGUGUUUCGGGCACGUAUAGAUGCAUCCGGGCCGCAUGAGCUAGUUGGUAAGUUAACGGCUUACCAAGGCAACGAUGCGUAGCCGAAGUGAGAGGGUGAUAGGCCACCUGGGAAGGUGGACAGCGUCAAGACUACUACGGGAGGCCGCAGUAGCGAACGGUCCGCAAUGGGCGAGAGCAUGGCGGAGCGGCGGCGCGUGAGAGAUGACGGUCUUCGGAUCGUAAAGACCUGCUACUAGGGAAGAACAACUGUGUCAGUAAACAUGCACGUAUUGACGGUAACUGAUCAGAAAGCACCGGCUAACUACGUG
rnacentral:rRNA from 1 species